AGGUGUCAGGGACACUCAGGAUCUCCAGGCCAGGAUCUCCUGCUCAGUGCUUCCCACAGGCCCUGCAGGAGCAGGGCAGGGCUGGAGAGGCUCAGGGGUGACCCUGCUGCUGUCCUGGUGCCCAGGGAAAAGAGGAUUUGACACUUCAGUGGACAGUGAGGGAUUUUUGAUAUCUGACAGUGGGAAAGUGCAGCAAAUACCAAAGUGCAGAAGCUCAGUCUGAGGGGUUGGGAACCCCCUCCUCUGCCAGGGCUGGAAAUGCCCGGAUCAAUGGAGAUUACAGGCAUCAAACUCUCAUCUCCUCCUAAACCUGCCCUGGAACGUGUUCCCUCUCCUUCUGCUGAGCCUUCAAACACCUCCUGCUUUGGUUACUGCUCUCAGCACCUCCCCGGGUGUGUGUUUGUGUUUAGGCUCGGCCUAACCCAGCCUUGAUCUGGGAUGCUGCUUCUCCCUUCCCGGCCGUCCCUGCAGACGCGCUCAGGUCUAAGGGCUGGAUUUGCCUCUGCCCUGCCCAGCUCCUCUGUUCUCCAUUAUCGGCUUUGUGGGAAGGGAAU